UACGAAGGGGGCUAGCGUUGUUCGGAUUUACUGGGCGUAAAGCGCACGUAGGCGGAUCGUUAAGUCGGGGGUGAAAUCCUGGAGCUCAACUCCAGAACUGCCUUCGAUACUGGCGAUCUUGAGUCCGGAAGAGGUGAGUGGAACUCCUAGUGUAGAGGUGGAAUUCGUAGAUAUUAGGAAGAACACCAGUGGCGAAGGCGGCUCACUGGUCCGGUACUGACGCUGAGGUGCGAAAGCUAGGGGAGCAAACGGG
rnacentral:rRNA from 1 species